GUGCCAGCAGCCGCGGUAAUACGGAGGGUGCAAGCGUUAUCCGGAUUCACUGGGUUUAAAGGGUGUGUAGGCGGGCUAUUAAGUCAGUGGUGAAAUCUCCGGGCUCAACCCGGAAACUGCCAUUGAUACUAUUAGUCUUGAAUAUUGUUGAGGUAGGCGGAAUAUAUCAUGUAGCGGUGAAAUGCAUAGAUAUGAUAUAGAACACCGAUUGCGAAGGCAGCUUACUAAACAAUUAUUGACGCUGAGGCACGAAAGCGUGGGGAUCAAACAGGAUUAGAUACCCUCGUAGUCC
rnacentral:rRNA from 1 species